rnacentral:pre_miRNA from 1 species
UGUUAAAAGUUUACUCAUUUGUACUAUUAAAAGUUGUUGUGAUUGAUGGAAUAACCAUAUAGUGACAUGUGACAUGCCAUGUGUACCUCAUACUUGAUUAACAUGGAUAAACUUUUAAUAAUAGAAAUAGAUGAAAUUUUUAAUA